UGAAUAAGGUGUUGCUGAAGUUGUCGGGCC
rnacentral:piRNA from 1 species